UUACUCCAUAUGUUGUCUAAUUAGACAUAUUUUCCAUGUUCUUAAAACAAACCAAAAUACACAUAAAAUACUCUUCAAUUCAAAACACACCUUUUCUCACAGUGUUGUUCUUUCAUCUCUCUGAUACAAUAAACAGUUUGUACAAAGUGCAUCUUUAAUGCUCUUAAAACCCAUUAGGUUUUACUGAACUAGUAUUUUUAACAGUACCUACCUUGUAGGCUAUAUCAAACAUUUUCUUAUUACUGAACUUCAAAUAACUUUUCUUAACCCGUUUUUAACAGUAUCUUUAAAGUGCUUUACAACAAUCAAUAAACAUUUUAAUACUUUACAAAACGUCAAGAAGUGAGCCACGUGUGGUGUUAUUACAAUAAAACAAAAAGGUAGAGACGAGCGUGGUCGGUACUAGCUUAAAGCUACUAGCCUAACGGUAAAACUUCCAACGGCGCCACCAUUACAAAUCUCUCGGCGAGCGUCGGACCUUACUAGCUAGUAGCUUAAAGCUACUAGCCUAACGGUUAAACUUCCAACGGCGCCGCAAUUACAAAUCUCUCGGCGAGCGUCGGACCUUACUAGCUACACAUGUACUCAUUUUAACACUCAUACUUUACUAAAACAUUUCACUACACAUUAUCCAAUCACUAACAUCAACUUGUUUUACAUUUUAAACACAUAACCCACCUGAAACAAAGAGAAAAGAAUGCUGACACGGGAGACGUGACUUGUCUUUUCAGAUCCUCAUUAUUAUAUUUAUUCAUUUAACUUCUCAAUUUACUGAAGGUUACCGUUUAUCUUCACAUUGUCCAUGCAUUUUAAACUCAGCAUCAUAUUACUCCAUAUGUUGUCUAAUUAGACAUAUUUUCCAUGUUCUUAAAACAAACCAAAAUACACAUAAAAUACUCUUCAAUUCAAAACACACCUUUUCUCUCAGUGUUGUUCUUUCAUCUCUCUGAUACAAUAAACAGUUUGUAAAAAGUGCAUCUUUAAUGCUCUUAAAACCCAUUAGGUUUUACUGAACUAGUAUUUUUAACAGUACCUACCUUGUAGGCUAUAUCAAACAUUUUCUUAUUACUGAACUUCAAAUAACUUUUCUUAACCCGUUUUUAACAGUAUCUUUAAAGUGCUUUACAACAAUCAAUAAACAUUUUAAUACUUUACAAAACGUCAAGAAGUGAGCCACGUGUGGUGUUAUUACAAUAAAACAAAAAGGUAGAGACGAGCGUGGUCGGUACUAGCUUAAAGCUACUA